GACGAACGCUGGCGGCGUGCUUAACACAUGCAAGUCGAACGAAGAGCGAUGGAAGCUUGCUUCUAUCAAUCUUAGUGGCGAACGGGUGAGUAACGCGUAAUCAACCUGCCCUUCAGAGGGGGACAACAGUUGGAAACGACUGCUAAUACCGCAUACGAUCUAACCUCGGCAUCGAGGAUAGAUGAAAGGUGGCCUCUAUUUAUAAGCUAUCACUGAAGGAGGGGAUUGCGUCUGAUUAGCUAGUUGGAGGGGUAACGGCCCACCAAGGCGAUGAUCAGUAGCCGGUCUGAGAGGAUGAACGGCCACAUUGGGACUGAGACACGGCCCAGACUCCUACGGGAGGCAGCAGUGGGGAAUCUUCCGCAAUGGACGAAAGUCUGACGGAGCAACGCCGCGUGAGUGAUGACGGCCUUCGGGUUGUAAAGCUCUGUUAAUCGGGACGAAAGGCCUUCUUGCGAAUAGUUAGAAAGGAA
rnacentral:rRNA from 1 species